UGUGAAAAAGAGGGAUAAAAAAAAAAAAAGUUUUGAACUGGUAAUAAAAUAAACAACAGCCCACUUUCAGGGAUGCAAACUCAACAGAGAUGAAAAAGGACACAAAGAUGUGAACCCAGUAGGGAUUUAAUGUAAUCUUACUGCUACAAAAGUAAUGUAAGAGGGACAUCAGCGCCCUUAAAAAAAACCAAAAAAAGUGUAUCCACUAUACUAUAAAGUUCAAACAAAACAAAACACAACAUGCACAACAACUGAUAAAUCAAAUGGAAAACAGCUUAAGUUAUAUUUUGGUAGAGAGACACCAAAACAAUAACAACUGUACACUAAGAGCUAAGUCACUGACCUUAAAUUCAUAAGAAACUACUCUGAUUUCCGAAGAACUGAAAUUACGGUUUUUCUCGAUCUUGAAAUUAUGCUCCAUUUCCCAAAACUCUAAACACAAAUGUUUAACUGAUCAUCUUCAAAGACUUCAAAGAAUUAUCACCUUUCUGACAAUGUCAACAAAAACUGAAGACGUAUAAGAUUCAUUAAAGUAGAAUUUAUAGAAGAGCUGUUACAUUAGAUUGCUCAGGUGUUCCUAAUUAAGUGGCCAGUGCGUGUAAAUAGUAGUAAAAUGGUGGGUGCCAUAUGUUAAUGAGACACUGGGGAGCAACAAGAGUCAUUAAAAACAUACAUAGUGUGUUCAAUAUAGAAUUAAUAGAAAUAGAAUAAGAGGAUUUGUGACGUGUCAUGCAUGUACAUAGAAAGAAAAAAUAAGACAGAAGAAAAAUGUUCAUAUAUAUUAUUAAAUAUACACCUGAACGACGAUGCAAACUCAACAGAGAUGAAAAAGGACACAAAGAUGUGAACCCAGUAGGGAAUUAAUGUAAUCUUACUGCUACAAAAGUAAUGUAAGAGGGACAUCAGCGCCCUUAAAAAAAACCAAAAAAAGUGUAUCCACUAUACUAUAAAGUUCAAACAAAACAAAACACAACAUGCACAACAACUGAUAAAUCAAAUGGAAAACAGCUUAAGUUAUAUUUUGGUAGAGAGACACCAAAACAAUAACAACUGUACACUAAGAGCUAAGUCACUGACCUUAAAUUCAUAAGAAACUACUCUGAUUUCCGAAGAACUGAAAUUACGGUUUUUCUCGAUCUUGAAAUUAUGCUCCAUUUCCCAAAACUCUAAACACAAAUGUUUAACUGAUCAUCUUCAAAGACUUCUAUGUCUAAACCAAACUCUCCACUGGAAAUCCGUUAAAUUUUACAUCUAAACCAAAUUUUGCCUUCAGACGGCACAUAAAAGCCAACAAAUACACAAACACUAUAAAACAGCUGUUAUACACUGAUGAGAUUCAAUUCAAAACAUGAUGAACACAAUAUAAAGACACAACACAUGUAUAAUAAACAUUUUGAAUCCGUCAACAUACUGUAGGAAAAUAAACUGAAAUUGAGUGAAGAAAUAAAUGUACUGUAAAAAUAUGCAACUGAUAAAGGACAAAUUUCCAUGUAUUUAUGAAUAUAAACCAAUGAGAAAAACAACAGUUUGUACAUAAAGACAGAAAUCACAUUUAUUGUGCGUCAGGUCUUUGUGAUGUGAGUCUUUGAUGCAUUGUUUUAAAACAAGUGAACUGACCUUGUUAUCAAUCCUGAGGUUCUGAUUGGUCUGUGAACAGUUUUGACUCUUAGUGUUUCCUCCUGGGGGUUUGUGUGUUAAUUGGGUUCCAGCUGUGAUGACUUGAGUUAAUGAUAUUGAAUGCCAGCGUUUUAUAAACGAGCACAUGAGUGAAAACAGGGGAACGGUGUUUAUAGUUUUGGGAAAUGGGUGUUUUGGUAGAUGGCGUCAUGGUUUGGGGCAUUUAGUUAAUAGGCUCAGUUAUAGUGUGUAAGUGAUCAAGAAAAAUUGUAAAAACCAGAAUAAACUUAUCAAACAGUAAACAAAAAGAUGAAACUGGCCAAAUACCCGACCACUCCUGAGACCAAACAAAGAAAAACUAAUAAAAUACAGACUUGGGGACCAGAGAGUCUUGAGAUAGAAGAGGGAAGACUCAGAAACCUGGCUCCCAGAGACCAGAGACUGUGUCAUUAUUGUGAAAUUCACUUCCUUCUCUCGAGUCCAAAAUAUGACAAGAUAAGAGAAACAUAUUACCCUAAAUUUGCAGAAAUAUUCCAAUAUUUUAACACCCUUUCACAAACACAAAAAGUACCAAUAAUUCUGAGAAAGAAUGAGAAGCAGCAAAAUAUGUAACAGCUUCAGAGAGGGAACAGACUAAAAGACUCAAAUCUUGUACUUUUCACAGGAGGAAAGUAACACAGCGAUUUUCUCUGAGCCAAAACAAGUCUGUCAACAUGUCUGAUAUGUCGAAUUGCGUCAGCACGUACAGCACGAAACUCCUAACAGAACUGCGAAAAAUGGCGUGGAUAUGUCAUACUUUCACUGAGUUUUACCCGAAAAGCCGUUCUGAUCACAAAAAACUGAGAUGUCUUCAGGAAUUUGAUUCAACUGAGCAAGUUGUAAUUAUUCUCUCAUGUCGGAUUGCAUCGGACAUGCUUCAUGCUAUCUGGAGACGCCAGAGGACGCCAAGAGUGGAAACAGCUGAUCAGUCAUACGGUGAUGUAACAGAGCUGCGGUGCAACCAGAACGCAAUACAGCAACAUCCAGUGGACACGUGGUUUAAAAUGUACUCACGUCAAAG